UUCUAACUGACGAGUCCAAAAUGGGACGAAACGCGCGUCCUGCAU
rnacentral:hammerhead_ribozyme from 1 species